UCCUGAAUUCGAAAGGGAUCGGAGUCAGCUGUAUCCGAACUCAGGCUGCCCCCUGCCAGAUGGCCCCGGUCGCCCGCAGGCGAUUCACUUCGCUUGCGGUGUCGUUCCCGGGGCUCCUGCGGGGUGGUGUACCGCUCUGAGAUUAAAACGGUGCGGCGCAUUUCCUCCCUAGUAGAAACGUCGCGACCCGUUGGGUGGCGGUCUAAGGCCCGGGCAGGCAGCCCGCGCGUCCCGGGGCGGGUGAUACCGUCGCGGUCGCGCGGACGUCCGGUGACCCGGCCGGUCGCCCGACGGUACGACCAGAGGAGUCGAUCCGCUGAAAAUAAGUGAGAUGCGUCCGGCCCUCCGCCGACGCGAGGGGGAUGGUCCGCCAGGCGUUUCGGAACCAUUCCUGUCUCGUCGUCGGUCGCGAGGUGUCCUCGGACCGGAUCAGCACUCCUGUCGGCGACGCCCACCUUCGGAUGGUCUCCCG
rnacentral:rRNA from 1 species